rnacentral:rRNA from 1 species
UACAGAGGUGGCAAGCGUUGUUCGGAAUUACUGGGCGUAAAGGGCGCGUAGGCGGCCUUCUAAGUCAGACGUGAAAUCCCCAGGCUUAACUUGGGAACUGCGUCUGAUACUGGAAGGCUUGAGUGCGGGAGAGGGAUGUGGAAUUCCAGGUGUAGCGGUGAAAUGCGUAGAUAUCUGGAGGAACACCGGUGGCGAAGGCGGCAUCCUGGACCGACACUGACGCUGAGGAGCGAAAGCCAGGGGAGCAAACGGG